AUGUUUGAGUUGAAGCUCUGCAGUUCAGAUGUAACAUACUUGAAUAUGAUUGCAGUGAUGGAAACCCAAGGAUUUAGUGAAUAUGAUCUGCUGUUUCACAUUGAGAAUCCACAAUUAGGGGAGAAAGGAUUGGAGAUGGUAGAGUGUAAUGCUGAGUUGCAAUUAGUAAAGAAGCAGGUUGAGGAGUCUAAGGUCUUAAAUUUGCUAGUGAGGGCAUGUCCACCUCCUUGCAGCCAGUUUGAGAGGCAAGAAUUAUCCACUGUUGUGUAUGAAGAGCCUGUGUUAUAUGAUCUCAGUGAGGCACCCAUCUAUGCUGUUAAUGAAGAAGGAGUUGCAUUUGAAAGUCAGAGUAGUAGCUACAGUGUAGCUCAUGGUACUGGUCUUUGCACACAAGAGAGCAAGAAUGUAAAAGGAAAAAUGAAAGCUGUUAUGGAAAUAGAAAAAGAAGAGGGAUAUGUUGGCAGUGGUGGUUCUGAUUGUGAAGGUGAAGAGGACAUUGAUGUACCACCUUUUUAUAUGGGUGAUGCUGAUGACAUAGAGAUGGCUGAGGGAAAGAAACAGAAAGAGUAUGAUGAAAUGGAAGAGGAAGAAACAGAUGAUGAAGAAUCUGAGGAGGAAGAAGUUGUGCAUUAUGAGGGUGAAACAGAGGUUGAGGAACCUUUUCAAAUGGAUGAAGAUGACAAAGUUGUUUCACAGGAUGUAGAAACUGUAAUUGUACAUGAAGAGAAGAAGAAGAAGAAACAGAAGCUUCCAGUUAGGAGAGGGCCUACAACAAGGUCACAUUCAAGUGUAGUAUCAGAGGAGGAACCUAAUUUCAAACCUUCAUCUGAUGAAGAAGAGAAAGGUUUUUUGAAGGAGGCUGAUGAUGAUGGUUUUGAGCCAUUGUCAUUUGUGCUGCCAAAGAAAAGGAAAAGCAGGGCAAAGCAGAGGCCUCCUAGAAAAUGGUACAAUGAGAAAAUGGAUGCACCACAUGAGCAAUUAUGUCUACACAUGUGUUUCUUGGAUCAACAUCAAUUCAGAGAGGCUUUGUUGAACCUACACAUCACUCAAGAAAGAAACUUCAGAUAUCAUAGGAACUCAGAUCAAAGAAUAAUUGUAGAAUGCAACCAAAAAAAUUGCAACUUCUUUAUGGUGGCAGCAGUUAUAAAAGGUGAAACUACUUUUGUAAUUAAGAAGAUGAGAAUUAAGCACACUUGCCCUACUAGUACAGAGACAACAAGGGUAAGUGCCAAGUGGCUUGCACAGAAGUAUGAGUCACUGUUCAGAUCUGAUCUAACAACUGGCAUUCAGACUUUGAUUGAUGCUUGCAUGGAGAAGUAUGGUGUGGAUGUGCCCAAGUCAAUGGCAUAUAGAGCAAAGAACAUAGCUAUUGAUGCUGUGCUAGGAGACCACAAGAAGUAA
rnacentral:rRNA from 1 species